rnacentral:rRNA from 1 species
GGAAGACCUAAAAAUAGUGGCAAAAAGCCAACCGAGCUUGGUGAUAGCUGGUUACUCAACAAAUGAACUUUAGUUCAACUUUAGGUGCCCAUGGGCCAACUACUUUAACCCACCACCCUUUAACCUAAAGAAAUUCAAUGGGGGUACAGCCCCAUUGAACCGGAAUACAACCCGAACUGAGAGACACCUACUAAACUUUAACCCUAACAGUAGGCCCCAAAGCAGCCACCAACUAAACGCGUUACAGCUACAACAAAACAAUUUUUACAAUAAUAUACACCUCCUAGUAUACCACGAGUUAUUCUAUUUUUUAAUAGAAACACCAAUGCUAAAAUUAGUAAUAAGAAACCCUAAUUUCUCUCCGCACCCCCUUAAAUCAGAAUAGAAAAACUACUGAUAAUUAACACAACACGACCUACAACAACUAGCUAACAUGUCAACUAAACUCUGUUACCCCAACACAGGAGUGCAAAAAAGAAAGGCAAAAAGCCAUAAAAGGAACUCGGCAAACCCUACCGUCCCAACUGUUUACCAAAAACAUAGCCUUUAGCUCAACAAGUAUUAAAGGUCCCGCCUGCCCAGUGACUCUUUAAACGGCCGCGGUAUCCUAACCGUGCAAAGGUA